AACUUUUAACAACGGAUCUCUUGGUUCUCGCAUCGAUGAAGAACGUAGCAAAGUGCGAUAACUAGUGUGAAUUGCAUAUUCAGUGAAUCAUCGAGUCUUUGAACGCAUCUUGCGCUCAAUGGUAUUCCAUUGAGCACGCCUGUUUCAGUA
rnacentral:rRNA from 5 species